GACGAACGCUGGCGGCGUGCUUAACACAUGCAAGUCGAGCGGUAAGGCCCUUUCGGGGGUACACGAGCGGCGAACGGGUGAGUAACACGUGGGUGACCUGCCCUCAGCUCUGGGAUAAGCCUGGGAAACCGGGUCUAAUACUGGAUAUGACUCCAUGACGCAUGUUGUGGGGUGGAAAGCCUUGUGCGGCUGAGGAUGGGCCCGCGGCCUAUCAGCUUGUUGGUGGGGUGAGGCCUACCAAGGCGACGACGGGUAGCCGGCCUGAGAGGGCGACCGGCCACACU
rnacentral:rRNA from 1 species